rnacentral:rRNA from 1 species
UACGUAGGGGGCGAGCGUUGUCCGGAUUCAUUGGGCGUAAAGCGCGCGCAGGCGGCUUCGCAAGUCGGCCGUGAAAUCUCCAGGCUCAACCUGGAGGGGUCGGGCGAGACUGCGGGGCUCGAGGUGGGCAGAGGGCAGUGGAAUUCCGGGUGUAGUGGUGGAAUGCGUAGAGAUCCGGAGGAACACCAGUGGCGAAGGCGGCUGCCUGGGCCUGGCCUGACGCUGAGGCGCGAAAGCGUGGGGAGCGAUCCGG